GCUUCAGUGAGGCCCCACUGCUANCGGANNGAGAUUUAGACGUGCGUGUGGGACGUUCCCCUGUUGCGGGGAGCGUGGCGUACGGCUCAGUAACACGUAGUCAACCUGCCCUGGAGACAAGGACAACCCCGGGAAACUGGGAUUAAUCCUUGAUAGGUCAUCUCAUCUGGAAGGAGAGAUGGCUUAAAGGGGUACGCGGGCUUCUUCCGCGAAUUCGCUCCAGGAUGGGACUGCGUCCGAUCAGGCUGUUGGCGGGGUAAUGGCCCACCAAACCUGUAACCGGUACGGGCCUUGAGAGAGGUGGCCCGGAGAUGGACACUGAGAGAAGGGUCCAGGUCCUACGGGGCGCAGCAGGCGCGAAACCUUCGCAAUGCGCGAAAGCGUGACGAGGUUAAUCCGAGUGACUCCCGCUGAGGGGGUCUUUUGUCAGCUGUAAAUAGGCAGGCGAAUAAGGGGAGGGCAAGCCUGGUGUCAGCCGCCGCGGUAAUACCAGCUCCUCGAGUGGUCGGGGCGAUUAUUGGGCCUAAAGCAUCCGUAGCCGGUUCCGUAGGUCCUCUGUUAAAUCCAACCGCUCAACGGUUGACCUGCAGAGGAUACCGCGGGACUAGGAGGCGGGAGAGGCGGACGGUACUCCGCGUGUAGGGGUAAAAUCCUUUGAUCCGCGGAAGACCACCAGUGGCGAAGGCGGUCCGCCAGAACGCGCUCGACGGUGAGGGAUGAAAGCUGGGGGAGCGAACCGGAUUAGAUACCCGGGUAGUCCCAGCCGUAAACGAUGCUAGCUAGAUGAUUCAUUCGCAAGUCGCGAAUGAAGUGUCGCAGGGAAGCCGUUAAGCUAGCCGCCUGGGGACUCCGGUCGCAAGACUGAAACUUAAAGGAAUAAAAGGGGAGCA
rnacentral:rRNA from 1 species